rnacentral:rRNA from 1 species
UUGACCUCGAAUCAGGUAGGAAUACCCGCUGAACUUAAGCAUAUCAAUAAGCGGNNNNNNNNNNNNNNNNNNNNNNNNNNNNAGUAACGGCGAGUGAAGCGGUAACAGCUCAAAUUUGAAAUCUGGCUCCGACGGAGUCCGAGUUGUAAUUUGUAGAAGAUGCUUUGGGUGGCAGGCUUGGCCUAAGUUCCUUGGAACAGGACGUCAGAGAGGGUGAGAAUCCCGUAUGUGGCCGAGGCCUGCGCCUAUGUAAAGCUCUUUCGACGAGUCGAGUUGUUUGGGAAUGCAGCUCAAAAUGGGUGGUAAAUUUCAUCUAAAGCUAAAUAUGGGCCAGAGACCGAUAGCGCACAAGUAGAGUGAUCGAAAGAUGAAAAGCACUUUGGAAAGAGAGUUAAACAGUACGUGAAAUUGUUGAAAGGGAAGCGCUUGCAACCAGACUUGGGCGCUGCCGAUCAUCCUGGGCUUUUGUCUCUGGUGCACUCGACAGCGUACAGGCCAGCAUCGGUUCGGUUGGCUGGAUAAAGGCCGUAGGAACGUAGCUUCUCUCGGGGAGUAUUAUAGCCUACGGUGCCAUGCAGCCCAGCUGGACCGAGGACCGCGCCUUCGGGCUAGGAUGCUGGCGUAAUGGUUGUAAGCGACCCGUCUUGAAACACGGACCAAGGAGUCUAACAUCUAUGCGAGUGUUUGGGCGUGAAAACCCAUACGCGGAAUGAAAGUGAACGUAGGUGAGAGCCCCGUUGGGGCGCAUCAUCGACCGAUCCUGAUGUCUUCGGAUGGAUUUGAGUAGGAGCAUAGC